AGUAUUUCUUAAAUAACUUCUAAAAUUUGUAUUUUUCUGAUCGCAUCCAAAUUUACAAGAUGCAUAAAUAAUGUCUGUCUUCGAUAUAUUUUACUAUUUUCUAUAUGUUAAUGUAAUAUAUGGUUUUGCUUUUAUUUGUUGAGAAGAGGUAAUAGGUAUCUCACAGACUGGCCCUCUUACUUAUUUAAUAGUAUACUCUUACCUUGUAAUUUUGGUAAGUAGGACUAGAUCAAUAAAAAUGUUAAACUUCAAACUACUCUCAACAUUAAUGUAAUUAACAUUAAUUAAAAGAGGAGAUGGGAGUUGAGAGAGUACAUAAGUCCAAUAGCAUUGCUGUAAUGCCUAUCUUAUACGGUUGCAGGGCACGUGACGGUCAUUGAAAAAGAGUAUUGUAGAAUAGCAAGUAAAUCCUUUAGUAGCAAGGGGUAAAAUUAAUAAAAAUGAAUUAAAAAU